GGUGAGGUAACCUUUUUGGAGCCAGCCGCCUAAGGUGGGAUAGAUGAUUGGGGUGAAGUCGUAACAAGGUAGCCGUAUCGGAAGGUGCGGCUGGAUCACCUCCUUU
rnacentral:rRNA from 1 species